rnacentral:rRNA from 1 species
UACGUAGGGGGCAAGCGUUGUCCGGAAUCAUUGGGCGUAAAGCGCGCGUAGGCGGCCCGGUAAGUCCGUUGUAAAAGUCAAAGGCUCAACCUUUGAAAGCCGAUGGAUACUGCCGGGCUAGAAUCCGGAAGAGGCGAGUGGAAUUCCUGGUGUAGCGGUGGAAUGCGCAGAUAUCAGGAGGAACACCAACAGCGAAGGCAGCUCGCUGGGACGGUACUGACGCUGAGACGCGAAAGCGUGGGGAGCAAACAGG